rnacentral:rRNA from 2 species
AAAACGACUCUCGGCAACGGAUAUCUCGGCUCUCGCAUCGAUGAAGAACGUAGCAAAAUGCGAUACUUGGUGUGAAUUGCAGAAUCCCGUGAAUCAUCGAGUCUUUGAACGCAAGUUGCGCCCAACGCCAUUCGGCCGAGGGCACGUCUGCCUGGGUGUCAC